CCUACGGGGGGCAGCAGUGAGGAAUAUUGGUCAAUGGACGAGAGUCUGAACCAGCCAAGUAGCGUGAAGGAUGACUGCCCUAUGGGUUGUAAACUUCUUUUAUAUGGGAAUAAAAUGUUCCACGUGUGGGAUUUUGUAUGUACCAUAUGAAUAAGGAUCGGCUAACUCCGUGCCAGCAGCCGCGGUAAUACGGAGGAUCCUAGCGUUAUCCGGAUUUAUUGGGUUUAAAGGGAGCGUAGGUGGAUUGUUAAGUCAGUUGUGAAAGUUUGCGGCUCAACCGUAAAAUUGCAGUUGAAACUGGCAGUCUUGAGUACAGUAGAGGUGGGCGGAAUUCGUGGUGUAGCGGUGAAAUGCUUAGAUAUCACGAAGAACUCCGAUUGCGAAGGCAGUUCACUGGACUGCAACUGACACUGAGGCUCGAAAGUGUGGGUAUCAAACAGGAUUAGAUACCCUUGUAGUC
rnacentral:rRNA from 1 species